AUUGAACGCUGGCGGCAUGCUUUACACAUGCAAGUCGGACGGCAGCACAGAGAAGCUUGCUUCUUGGGUGGCGAGUGGCGAACGGGUGAGUAACAUAUCGGAACGUACCGAGCAGUGGGGGAUAACUAAUCGAAAGAUUAGCUAAUACCGCAUAUCUUCUGAGGAAGAAAGCAGGGGACCAUUUGGCCUUGCGCUGUUUGAGCGGCCGAUAUCUGAUUAGCUAGUUGGUGGGGUAAAGGCCUACCAAGGCGACGAUCAGUAGCGGGUCUGAGAGGAUGAUCCGCCACACUGGGACUGAGACACGGACCAGACUCCUACGGGAGGCAGCAGUGGGGAAUUUUGGACAAUGGGCGCAAGCCUGAUCCAGCCAUGCCGCGUGUCUGAAGAAGGCCUUCGGGUUGUAAAGGACUUUUGUCAGGGAAGAAAAGGGCGGGGUUAAUACCCCUGUCUGAUGACGGUACCUGAAGAAUAAGCACCGGCUAACUACGUG
rnacentral:rRNA from 1 species